rnacentral:rRNA from 1 species
AGGUGCGAUCAUACCAGCACUAAUGCACCGGAUCCCAUCAGAACUCCGCAGUUAAGCGUGCUUGGGCGAGAGUAGUACUAGGAUGGGUGACCUCCUGGGAAGUCCUUGUGUUGCACCU